ensembl:lncRNA
GUAUAUCUAUAACAUAUUUAAAGCAAAAAGUCAAAUUAAUCACUUGUUAUCACUUAUUCAUUCAAUAAUUGUUAAGGGCGGGGGACAGGAAUAAGACCUGGUGGUGCUGGGACAGGACCAGGAGGCUAUGGACCUGGUGGUGCUGGGACAGUGCCUGGAGGAUUUGGACCUGCUGGUGCUGGGACAGGACCUGGAGGAUUUGGACCUGCUGGUGCUGGGACAGGACCUGGAGGAUUUGGACCUGCUGGUGCUGGGACAGGACCUGGAGGAUAUGGACCUGGUGGUGCUGGAACAGGACCUGGAGGCUACGGACCUGGUAGUGCUGG